rnacentral:rRNA from 1 species
ACUCCUACGGGAGGCAGCAGUUAGGAAUCUUGCGCAAUGGGCGAAAGCCUGACGCAGCGAUGCCGCGUGCGGGAUGAAGGCCCUCGGGUCGUAAACCGCUUUCAGCAGGGACGAUAGUGACGGUACCUGCAGAAGAAGCCCCGGCCAACUACGUGCCAGCAGCCGCGGUAAUACGUAGGGGGCGAGCGUUGUCCGGAUUUAUUGGGCGUAAAGAGCUCGUAGGCGGUUUGGUAAGUCGGGUGUGAAAUCUCCACGCUCAACGUGGAGGGGCCACUCGAUACUGCCAUGACUCGAGUCCGGUAGAGGAGUGUGGAAUUCCCGGUGUAGCGGUGAAAUGCGCAGAUAUCGGGAGGAACACCCGUAGCGAAGGCGGCACUCUGGGCCGGAACUGACGCUGAGGAGCGAAAGCGUGGGGAGCAAACAGGAUUAGAUACCCUGGUAGUCCACGCCGUAAACGUUGGGCACUAGGUGUGGGGAUCUAUCGACGGUUUCCGUGCCGAAGCUGACGCAUUAAGUGCCCCGCCUGGGGAGUACGGCCGCAAGGCUAAAACUCAAAUGAAUUGACGG